AGCUUUGCACAGUGGUAGUAUUGUAGCCAAUGAGGUUUAUCUGAGGCAUGAUGAUUGCUAAUAAAAAAUAAAUAAAAGGC
ensembl:snRNA U4 U4 spliceosomal RNA